GCUCUUUGGAAUGUCCGGCGCCUGAGCGCCUGGGUUCUUUCGUUGGAGAGGGUCCCAUUUCCAGUCAUUCUUCAGCCUGGUGAUUCCCGCGCUCCCCUGAGGAGCAUAUGAAAAAUUAGGAUUACCGAAAAUACUGAAGAAAGACUACCUCUGAUUGGACUCUUCUCAAGGAAUUAAUAAUUCAAGAACUAAGGAAAGAAAAAAGUGAUUAUAUGAAAAUACUGAAGUUGAUCGUAGCAACUGAAGGCUGAUCCUGUGCUGAAGUACAUUGGUGCAAUCUUGGCUCACUACAUCUCUACCCCAAGUUCAAGCAAUUCUCCUGCCUCAGCCUCCCAAGCAGCUGGGAUUACAGGUUUUGCCUUUUCCAGAAUGUCACAUAAAUGGAAUCA
rnacentral:antisense_RNA from 1 species